UACGAAGGGGGCUAGCGUUGCUCGGAAUCACUGGGCGUAAAGCGCACGUAGGUGGGUCGUUAAGUCGGGGGUGAAAUCCUGGAGCUCAACUCCAGAACUGCCUUCGAUACUGGCGAUCUUCGAGUCCGGGAGAGGUGAGUGGAAUUCCGAGUGUAGAGGUGAAAUUCGUAGAUAUUCGGAAGAACACCAGUGGCGAAGGCGGCUCACUGGACGACUGUUGACGCUGAGGUACGAAAGCGUGGGGAGCAAACAGG
rnacentral:rRNA from 1 species